UUAUAACGGGAGAAAACCUACCAAGUCUUGACAUCCUUCUGACAAUACUUAGUAAUGGAGUAUUUCCUUCGGGACAGAUGUGACAGGUGGCGCAUGGUUGUCGUCCUCUCGUGUCGUGAUAUGUUGUUAUAAGUCCCGCAACGAGCGCACCCCUUGUUCUUAAUACCCAGCAUUUCGGCUGGGCACUCUAAGGAGACUGCCGGGGUGAACGUGGAAGAAGGUGGAGAAGACGUCAAAUCAUCAUGCCCCUUAUGACUUGGGCUACACACGUGCUACAAUGGCGUAAACAAAGAGAAGCGAACUUGUGAGAGUGAGCAAAUCUCAAAAAUAACGUCUCAGUUCGGAUUGUAGUCUGCAACUCGACUACAUGAAGCUGGAAUCGCUAGUAAUCGCGUAUCAAAAUGCUGCGGAGAAUACUUUCCCGGCUCGUACACACAGCGA
rnacentral:rRNA from 1 species